rfam:Lactobacillus iners DSM 13335 genomic scaffold SCAFFOLD1, whole genome shotgun sequence.
GACGGGUCGAGGAAAGUGCGAAAGCACUCUUUGACAGGAAGCUAUCAGACUUUAAAUAGUCAGGCACGGGAAGUGCUGAUAGUGAGCAACUUUGGAUGUGAACCAAAGACUCUGA